GAUGAAGAACGCAGCGAAAUGCGAUAAGUAAUGUGAAUUGCAGAAUUCAGUGAAUCAUCGAAUCUUUGAACGCACCUUGCGCCCUUUGGCCAUUCCGAAGGGCAUGCCUGUUUGAGUAUCAUGAACACCUCAACUCUUUAUGGUUUUCCAUGAUGAGCUUGGACUCUGGGGGUUUUGCUGGCUCACAGUCGGCUCCUCUAAAAUGAAUCAGCUUACCAGUGUUUGGUGGGUAUCAUGGGUGUGAUAACUAUCUACGCUUGUGGUUUUUCCACCAGGUAACCUUCAGCAGUGGAGGUUCGCUGGAGCUCAUAGAUGUCUCUCCUCAGUGAGGACAGCCCUUUGAAUGUUUGAUCUCAAAUCAGGUAGGACUACCCGCUGAACUUAAGCAUAUCAAUCAGCGGAGGA
rnacentral:misc_RNA from 1 species